GAUGAACGCUGACAGAAUGCUUAACACAUGCAAGUCAACUUGAAUUUGGGUUUUUAACUUAGGUUUGGGUGGCGGACGGGUGAGUAACGCGUAAAGAACUUGCCUCACAGCUAGGGACAACAUUUGGAAACGAAUGCUAAUACCUAAUAUUAUGAUAAUAGGGCAUCCUAUAAUUAUGAAAGCUAUAAGCGCUGUGAGAGAGCUUUGCGUCCCAUUAGCUAGUUGGAGAGGUAACGGCUCACCAAGGCGAUGAUGGGUAGCCGGCCUGAGAGGGUGAUCGGCCACAAGGGGGCUGAGACACGGCCCUUACUCCUGCGGGAGGCAGCAGUGGGGAAUAUUGGACAAUGGACCGAGAGUCUGAUCCAGCAAUUCUGUGUGCACGAUGAAGUUUUUCGGAAUGUAAAGUGCUUUCAGUUGGGAAGAAACAAAUGACGGUACCAACAGAAGAAGUGACGGCUAAAUACGUG
rnacentral:rRNA from 1 species